CACGUAGGGGGCAAGCGUUGUCCGGAUUUAUUGGGCGUAAAGAGCUCGUAGGCGGCUUAGUAAGUCGGGUGUGAAACCUCCAGGCUCAACCUGGAGACGCCACCCGAUACUGCUGUGGCUAGAGUCCGGUAGGGGAGCGUGGAAUUCCUGGUGUAGCGGUGAAAUGCGCAGAUAUCAGGAGGAACACCGGUGGCGAAGGCGGCGCUCUGGGCCGGUACUGACGCUGAGGAGCGAAAGCGUGGGGAGCAAACAGG
rnacentral:rRNA from 1 species